GGGCCCGCACAAGCGGUGGAGCAUGUGGUUUAAUUCGAUGAUACGCGAGGAACCUUACCAGGUCUUAAAUGCAUAACGAACGAUUGGGAAACCAAUCUUUCUUCGGACGGAAUGCAAGGUGCUGCAUGGUUGUCGUCAGCUCGUGCCGUGAGGUGUCAGGUUAAGUCCUAUAACGAGCGCAACCCCUAUUCUUAGUUGCCAGCGGUUCGGCCGGGGACUCUAAGAAAACUGCCAGUGCAAGCUGUGAGGAAGGUGGGGAUGACGUCAAAUCAUCACGGCCCUUACGACCUGGGCCACACACGUGCUACAAUGGUAGGUACAAAGGGCAGCCACUUGGCGACAAGGAGCUAAUCUUCAAAAACUUACCUCAGUUCGGAUUGCACUCUGCAACUCGAGUGCAUGAAGCUGGAAUC
rnacentral:rRNA from 1 species